rnacentral:rRNA from 1 species
GAGAAUCCCGUCCACCGAAUGCCUAAGGUUUCCUGAGGAAGGCUCGUCCGCUCAGGGUUAGUCAGGACCUAAGCCGAGGCCGACAGGCGUAGGCGAUGGACAACAGGUUGAUAUUCCUGUACCACCUCUUUAUCGUUUGAGCAAUGGAGGGACGCAGAAGGAUAGAAGAAGCGUGCGAUUGGUUGUGCACGUCCAAGCAGUUAGGCUGAUAAGUAGGCAAAUCCGCUUAUCGCGUAUGCUGAGCUGUGAUGGGGAAGCUCCUUAUGGAGCGAAGUCUUUGAUUCCCCGCUGCCAAGAAAAGCUUCUAGCGAGAUAAAAGGUGCCUGUACCGCAAACCGACACAGGUAGGCGAGGAGAGAAUCCUAAGGUGUGCGAGAGAACUCUGGUUAAGGAACUCGGCAAAAUGACCCCGUAACUUCGGGAGAAGGGGUGCUUUCUUAACGGAAAGCCGCAGUGAAUAGGCCCAAGCGACUGUUUAGCAAAAACACAGGUCUCUGCGAAGCCGUAAGGCGAAGUAUAGGGGCUGACACCUGCCCGGUGCUGGAAGGUUAAGGAGAGGGGUUAGCGUAAGCGAAGCUCUGAACUGAAGCCCCAGUAAACGGCGGCCGUAACUAUAACGGUCCUAAGGUAGCGAAAUUCCUUGUCGGGUAAGUUCCGACCCGCACGAAAGGUGUAACGAUUUGGGCACUGUCUCAACCAGAGACUCGGUGAAAUUAUAGUACCUGUGAAGAUGCAGGUUACCCGCGACAGGACGGAAAGACCCCGUGGAGCUUUACUGUAGCCUGAUAUUGAAUUUUGGUACAGUUUGUACAGGAUAGGCGGGAGCCAUUGAAACCGGAGCGCUAGCUUCGGUGGAGGCGCUGGUGGGAUACCGCCCUGACUGUAUUGAAAUUCUAACCUACGGGUCUUAUCGACCCGGGAGACAGUGUCAGGUGGGCAGUUUGACUGGGGCGGUCGCCUCCUAAAGUGUAACGGAGGCGCCCAAAGGUUCCCUCAGAAUGGUUGGAAAUCAUUCGUAGAGUGCAAAGGCAUAAGGGAGCUUGACUGCGAGACCUACAAGUCGAGCAGGGACGAAAGUCGGGCUUAGUGAUCCGGUGGUUCCGCAUGGAAGGGCCAUCGCUCAACGGAUAAAAGCUACCCCGGGGAUAACAGGCUUAUCUCCCCCAAGAGUCCACAUCGACGGGGAGGUUUGGCACCUCGAUGUCGGCUCAUCGCAUCCUGGGGCUGUAGUCGGUCCCAAGGGUUGGGCUGUUCGCCCAUUAAAGCGGUACGCGAGCUGGGUUCAGAACGUCGUGAGACAGUUCGGUCCCUAUCCGUCGUGGGCGUAGGAAAUUUGAGAGGAGCUGUCCUUAGUACGAGAGGACCGGGAUGGACGCACCGCUGGUGUACCAGUUGUUCUGCCAAGGGCAUAGCUGGGUAGCUAUGUGCGGAAGGGAUAAGUGCUGAAAGCAUCUAAGCAUGAAGCCCCCCUCAAGAUGAGAUUUCCCAUAGCGUAAGCUAGUAAGAUCCCUGAAAGAUGAUCAGGUUGAUAGGUUCGAGGUGGAAGCAUGGUGACAUGUGGAGCUGACGAAUACUAAUAGAUCGAGGACUUAACCAU